UUUAAUACUUACUACUCAUUUCUCUGCUAUACGUGUUUCUUGAGGUUCUUUUACGGUUCCUUAAGCACGCAGUGUUUUACAGGAACCUUUCUUAAAAUGUAACCCCAAUUAUCAGGCCUCUAAAUAACAUUAUCAUAGUUCGAUACCAAAUACUAUAUUUUAAUUUUAACAGAUAAGUAUACAUAUGUGUGUAUA